CGACACCACUCGCUGAAACAGCGAAGGUGGAAUACGGAGACAUACAAUAGGUGUUGAACAGCAUAUUUGAGCCUGAAUCAUUGAGGAAGAAUCUGAAAUAGAGGAGCAACCAGUCGCCCAUAGAUUGGAAAUGACUACUUCAGAGUGGUUAUUAAAAGAAUGACCCAGGUUCCUGAGGAGCUGACCUGAAUGACCAUCAUGGCCUCGAUCCGUUGUGCCUCUAUAUUCUUUGCAAAAUGCAAGCCAUGGCCGUUUGAGAAUCAGGGGGAUGGAAAGGCAAUGAAAUGACUUGGCCUACAGGUCUUUUGUGAGCAGGAGCUGGGGUUUCCUUAGAAGAAGCGUCUGUGUCAUGAUACCCUCGUGUGUUGUGCUACGCAUAUGGAGGGAGCUUCUGGCUACUUCAGGGCAGUACGUUGGAUUCAGACCCCUUUUUGACUGAACCGUGACACAUGUUCAGCAACAGCAUCCUCCAUGGAAGGUCUGUCAAGUUGAGCACACAAGUCCUGGGGCACAGGAAUCCGCUGGACGGCAUCCCAAUAAGGAAGAGGGUCUUUCAUGAUCUCGAAGAGGACAAGAAAAAGGACUUAUAUUGGAUACUGUAAUACAGUGCAUUGUAGGCUGUACAAUAAACAAAUUGUAUGGCCCUGAACAUUGUGCUUUGUUUACAGUACUGAUGAUGAUUUCGACACCAGUAGCAAGACAGCCUGUUGUGUGUGAAUCGAUAAGUUCUUUUUAGUGCCUAUAC